CUGCUGAAGAGUCCCACAACAGGACGAAACGGCCGUCCAG
rnacentral:hammerhead_ribozyme from 1 species